GGCAGCAUUGCUGACAGAGUGACAGGACAGCUGGACACGCUUCCAGGCAAUGACGGACAAGGCAGCCUUCCUAGCAGGACCACUGCCCAUGCAUCACAACAAAGGUUAUCAAGAAUGUAAGCAGAAACACUGAAAAGGAAAACAUAUGAUGCCUUAUCUGUUUCUAGGUGAAGAUGCCCAGGUGGCUGACAGUGCAACAAUGCAUUUCAGAUCAGACUGC